UACGUAGGGGCUAGCGUUAUCCGGAAUUACUGGGCGUAAAGGGUGCGUAGGUGGUUUCUUAAGUCAGAGGUGAAAGGCUACGGCUCAACCGUAGUAAGCCUUUGAAACUGAGAAACUUGAGUGCAGGAGAGGAGAGUGGAAUUCCUAGUGUAGCGGUGAAAUGCGUAGAUAUUAGGAGGAACACCAGUUGCGAAGGCGGCUUCCUGGUCUGUAACUGACACUGAGGCGCGAAAGCGUGGGUAGCAAACAGGAUUAGAUACCCCGGUAGUCCCUGAGCGGGCU
rnacentral:rRNA from 1 species